rnacentral:rRNA from 1 species
UGGGGAAUAUUGGACAAUGGGCGCAAGCCUGGUCCAGCCAUGCCGCGUGAGUGAUGAAGGCCUUAGGGUUGUAAAGCUCUUUCGCCGGUGAAGAUAAUGACGGUAACCGGAGAAGAAGCCCCGGCUAACUUCGUGCCAGCAGCCGCGGUAAUACGAAGGGGGCUAGCGUUGCUCGGAACCACUGGGCGUAAAGCGCACGUAGGCGGAUCGUUAAGUCAGGGGUGAAAUCCUGGGGCUCAACCUCAGAACUGCCCUUGAUACUGGCGAUCUCGAGUUCGAGAGAGGUUGGUGGAACUCCGAGUGUAGAGGUGAAAUUCGUAGAUAUUCGGAAGAACACCAGUGGCGAAGGCGGCCAACUGGCUCGAUACUGACGCUGAGGUGCGAAAGCGUGGGGAGCAAAACAGGAUUAGAUACCCUGGUAGUCCACGCCGUAAAACGAUGGAUGCUAGCCGUUGGGGAGCUUGCUCUUCAGUGGCGCAGCUAACGCCUUAAGCAUCCCGCCUGGGGAGUACGGUCGCAAGAUUAAAACUCAAAUGAAUUGACGGGGUCAUAGCUGUUUCCUG